UACGUAGGGUGCGAGCGUUGUCCGGAAUUACUGGGCGUAAAGAGCUCGUAGGCGGUUUGUCGCGUCUGCCGUGAAAGUCCGGGGCUCAACUCCGGAUCUGCGGUGGGUACGGGCAGACUAGAGUGAUGUAGGGGAGACUGGAAUUCCUGGUGUAGCGGUGAAAUGCGCAGAUAUCAGGAGGAACACCGAUGGCGAAGGCAGGUCUCUGGGCAUUAACUGACGCUGAGGAGCGAAAGUGUGGGGAGCGAACAGGA
rnacentral:rRNA from 1 species